UUGAUUUCUUCACUAGGGUAACAAAGGUAGAGGAAGUUACAACAAUUCAACUGGUAGAGGAAACCAAUAAGAAGGCGGUUUAUCAAAUCAGAGAUAAUCUUCAAACCAAAUAAAUCACAUAGGCGGUGUUGAAGGUAGAGGAAGAGGCGAUAGAAGAAAACCUAACAAAAGUCAUAUUCAGUAUUAUAACAGUCAGAAGUAUGGACAUUAUGCAAGUCAAUGUCG
rnacentral:lncRNA from 1 species